rnacentral:rRNA from 1 species
UACGAGGGGGGGCAGGCGUUUGUUCGGAAUUAUUGGGCGUAAAGGGCGCGUAGGCGGUGCGGUAAGUCUGUAGUGAAAUCUCUGGGCUCAACUCAGAGUCUGCUGCAGAAACUGCCGUGCUUGAGUGUGGGAGAGGUGAGUGGAAUUCCCGGUGUAGCGGUGAAAUGCGCAGAUAUCGGGAAGAACACCCGUGGCGAAGGCGGCUCUCUGGGACGGUACUGACGCUGAGACGCGAAAGCGUGGGGAGCGAACAGG